rnacentral:rRNA from 1 species
UACGUAGGGGGCGAGCGUUGUCCGGAUUUAUUGGGCGUAAAGAGCGUGUAGGCGGCCAGGUAGGUCUGCUGUGAAAACUCGAGGCUCAACCUCGAGACGUCGGCGGAAACCAUCUGGCUAGAGUACGGAAGAGGCGAGUGGAAUUCCUGGUGUAGCGGUGGAAUGCGCAGAUAUCAGGAGGAACACCAAUAGCGAAGGCAGCUCGCUGGGACGUUACUGACACUGAGGCGCGAAAGCGUGGGGAGCGAACAGG